CUACGGGUGGCUGCAGUGGGGAAUAUUGGACAAUGGGCGAAAGCCUGAUCCAGCCAUGCCGCGUGUGUGAAGAAGGCCUUCGGGUUGUAAAGCACUUUCAGUGGGGAAGAAAGCCUUGGGGCUAAUACCCUCGAGGAAGGACAUCACCCACAGAAGAAGCACCGGCUAACUCCGUGCCAGCAGCCGCGGUAAUACGGAGGGUGCGAGCGUUAAUCGGAAUUACUGGGCGUAAAGCGCGCGUAGGCGGUCUGAUAAGCCGGUUGUGAAAGCCCCGGGCUCAACCUGGGAACGGCAUCCGGAACUGUCAGGGUAGAGUGCAGGAGAGGAAGGUAGAAUUCCCGGUGUAGCGGUGAAAUGCGUAGAGAUCGGGAGGAAUACCAGUGGCGAAGGCGGCCUUCUGGACUGACACUGACGCUGAGGUGCGAAAGCGUGGGUAGCAAACAGGAUUAGAUACCCGAGUAGUC
rnacentral:rRNA from 1 species